rnacentral:rRNA from 1 species
AUUGAACGCUGGCGGCAGGCCUAACACAUGCAAGUCGAGCGGAUGAAGGGAGCUUGCUCCUGGAUUCAGCGGCGGACGGGUGAGUAAUGCCUAGGAAUCUGCCUGGUAGUGGGGGAUAACGUCCGGAAACGGGCGCUAAUACCGCAUACGUCCUGAGGGAGAAAGUGGGGGAUCUUCGGACCUCACGCUAUCAGAUGAGCCUAGGUCGGAUUAGCUAGUUGGUGGGGUAAAGGCCUACCAAGGCGACGAUCCGUAACUGGUCUGAGAGGAUGAUCAGUCACCCUGGAACUGGGACACGGUCCCGACUCCUACGGGAGGCAGCAGUUGGGAAUAUUGGACAAUGGGCGAAAGCCUGAUCCAGCCAUGCCGCGUGUGUGAAGAAGGUCUUCCGAUUGUAAAGCACUUUUAGGUGGGAGGAAGGGCAGUAAGUUAAUACCUUGCUGUUUUGACGUUACCAACAGAAUAAGCACCGGCUAACUUCGUG